AAAGGAUUCAUAUUCCUCGAAUAAAAGUUAUCUCCUUUUCUCAAGAUCAAUGGUCCCUACUUGCACCUAUCAAACUGGCCAUGCCCAUGCCCAUUCUGGGCCCAUAUGGAAGCUCUCUUUGCACCUUUUGGUUGACCUCUGAGGAGCAGCUUGGAUACCUUCUUCCCCUUAACACUGUAGAGGCUCUCUGCAACAGAACUCCCUACAUCUCACAGCACCAGCCUCCGUUCUCCUACCAAGUGUGAUUUGUGUGUCUAGCCUUCUCUAGGACUUCUGCCAGAUUGGGUACAGCUAGGAGAGCCACAUUCAAAACCAAGAAGAGAAAGGAGUCAUAGAGCCACAGCCAGAAUGUUUAGGAUCCAAGGUGGCUGCCAGGACUCCAGAUGUCACAUCCCUUUCCCAAGCAGCAGGAUGGAGAGAGAAAGAGAGAAGGUCGUCCAGUCUCUCUUUGAAAAGACUUCCUGGAAGAAUUGCACAUCUGCAGAUGUUCCGUGGAGCAUCAUCACCAAAAAUGCACACGAAACUGCCACUAGAAGCAAAUGGAGGAAGCACACAGCAGGACUGGGUGUCUUUAAUUGCCAUUGCGAACGUGUGUCCAUCUGCACCACGUGAAUGAUUUGCGGCACAGCCGGGACCUGGCUCAGUUCUCUUGACACAUACAUCAACUCACAAGCACUGAAGUGGCAAGGCUGUUUGCAGAAGACAUUUAAGGCAAAAAUAGAUUGCAUCUUAAAAUCUCCUUACAGGACAUAGGUGGCACAUUGAAGAAAGCUUCAAUGCAACAAUAAUUUACAAUAACAUGGGCACAGUAAUGGAAAACAGCAAAGAACUGUGAGGAACUUUGCUGGCACUUUUUCCAGGGCCAGCAGCUGGAAAGAGGGGCCACAAAACAUCAGCAAGGAAACUGCUGUUCUAAAAGAAAGACACAAGAAGCUGUGCUUCCAGAAGAGAAAAGUAGUCACUGCCACCCCAGGAACCUGGCAUGGAGGGAUGCAGUGGUGUAAUACCACUCUCUCCUUGCACCACCCACAAGCCCAGCCCAUCCUGGGGACAGACGCAUGCUGAAAGUGGAGGUCGGGUCUGGAAGGGCAAAAGCAGAUGGCCCAGCAUAGCCCACCACUUUUCUUUGUCAACAUCAAGUAUUUCUGUGUCUGUACGAAAAACCAAGGUUCUGUCCCAGGGAAAUGACGGAGUCCCAUCAGCUACAGGAUCAUAACAAGGAGAUGUCAAUUCAGUCAUACUCGCCUGAAAGCUACAGCACCUUGAACGGUUCACCCAACCACCUCAUCUGCAUGUGGUUCUCGUGGCACGUAAAGCCCUAACUGGGUGGUCUCAGUUUCACACCGCUAUGACUUUGUUUUCUGCUGGAAGCAGUUCCCCUUAUCACCAGAGCCUCCAAACCUAGAAAAGCCAAGAAAGCAGAGAUGGAAGCAAUUCCUGAUGUGGGCUAUUUGGGGCAAAACUGGUAUCUCCCCUUAUGUCCCCCGUGAGUAAGCAUUCCACAGACAGUUUCAAAACAUUAUGUUGUAUACUGAUGUACACCAGAAAUAAUAAAACCAUCAGAAUUCCCUGUCAGUUGCUGAUUCUCUAACAAAAAUAAAUCCAACCUUGGCCCCUAAUAUAACUGAAGAUAUUUGAAGAUAAGUCAUGUCUUUGUGGAUAUGAUAAUAUGUGAGAAAAUUACUUUCUCCAUGAUAAACAGGUUACGUGAAAACUCAUUAACCUCGACAGGUUUUGAGGAGUUUUUCCCAUUUAAAUGCCUGUUGUGUUUUGACUUGCUGAGUCUUCUGAAG
rnacentral:lncRNA from 1 species